GACGGAGGAUGCAAGUGUUAUCCGGAAUCACUGGGCGUAAAGCGUCUGUAGGUGGUUCGAAAAGUCCACUGUUAAAAAUUGAGGCUUAACUUCAAAGAUGCCGUGGAAACUUUCAAACUAGAGUAUGGUAGGGGUAGAGGGAAUUUCCAGUGGAGCGGUGGAAAUGCGUAGAUAUUGGAAAAGACCACCGAUGGCGAAGGCACUCUACUGGGCCAUUACUGACACUGAGAGACGAAAGCUAGGGGAGCAAAACAGG
rnacentral:rRNA from 1 species